AACGGCCGCGGUACCCUAACCGUGCGAAGGUAGCAUAAUCACUUGUCCUUUAAAUAGGGACUUGUAUCAACGGCACCACGAGGGCUAUACUGUCUCCUUUCUCCAAUCAGUGAAACUGAUCUCCCCGUGAAGAAGCGGGGAUUAUAAUAUAAGACGAGAAGACCCCAUGGAGCUUUAAACUCAUCAUACACCUCUAUGCCCUAUAUCAACUUACACAAGAAACCUGUAUGCUAGUUUUAGGUUGGGGGGACCACGGAGUAUAAUUAAACCUCCAUAACAAAUGGGCUAACACCCUUAUCUACGAGAUACACCUCUAAGAAUUACUAAACUAAUGUUUAAUGACCCAAUAAUUUGAUCAAUGAACCAAGUUACCCUGGGGAUAACAGCGCAAUC
rnacentral:rRNA from 1 species